rnacentral:tRNA from 1 species
GCCGGGGUGGCAGAAUCAGGUAAACGCGAUAGCCUGAUAAGCUAUUGUCUUCUAGGACACACGAGUUCGAAUCCUCAAUUGGAAAGUCCCGUCCCCGACG